CAGCCGCCGCGGUAAUACGAGGGGGGCGAGCGUUGUUCGGAAUUAUUGGGCGUAAAGGGUGCGUAGGCGGUUUGGUAAGUCUCAUGUGAAAUCUUCAGGCUCAACCUGAAGUCUGCAUGAGAAACUGCCGGGCUUGAGUAUGGGAGAGGUGAGUGGAAUUCCAGGUGUAGCAGUGAAAUGCGUAGAGAUCGGAAGGAACAUCUGUGGCGAAGGCGACUAUCUGGGCCAACACUGACACUGAGGCACGAAAGCGUGGGGAGCAAACAGGAUUAGAUACCCCUGUAGUCCCUGUCUCUUAUAC
rnacentral:rRNA from 1 species